rnacentral:lncRNA from 1 species
GGUAGCUCACACCUGUAAUCCCAGCACUUUGGGAGGCCGAAGGUGGAAGGAUUGUUUGAGCCCAGGAGUUCAAGACCAGCCCGGGUAAAAUAGUGAAACUCCCCACCUCUCCAAAAAAAAAAAAAAAAAAAAAUCAGCCAGGCGUGGUGGCAAGCACCUGCGGUCCCAGCUACUCUGGAGGCUGAGGUGGGAGGAGGAUUGCUUGAGCCUGGGAGGUCGAGGCUUCAGUGAGCCGUGAGUGGGGCACUGCACUCCAGUUUGGGCAACAGAGUGAGACCUCGUCUCCAAAAGAACAAAAAAUUUAACGUAUUUAAAGCACUCAGAACAGCACCUGACACAUGGUAACCACAGUAACCAGGUAAGUUAUUUUCAUUUACAAAUUGAGAAAUGAGGCUUACGUAUGAAGUAACUUGUCUAGAACAGAUAGCAACUAGUGGAGGCAGAUUGGGAAAGUCUCUGCCUAAUCUGAAUCUCAAUCACUAUACCUGCCCCACCCUCUUCCUGUGUCUACAGGGAGCCUGUUAUGAUCCUAAUUGCCUUUAAAGCAUCAGAUGUAUUUAUUUGGUAGCAUCCUAUUACAAAGUGGCUGCUCUCUGGGCAUUUUUGUAAUUUUAAUGAAGUUGGUGAGGUCCUAUAACUUGUCUCUCAGACCAGGGGCAAGGCUUCUGGGAGAAGUCAGAAUGGAUGGCUUCAAGAUCCACCUCCUACUAAAUCCUACUUAUGGAAAAAUCAGUAGAAAUGAACUUCUGAACAUGUUUCAUUUGAGAUCUUUUCAGAUAUCCAAGUGGAGAUAAUUGUGAUUUGGUGUGGUAAGUGCUGUGUUAGUGGAAAGCACAGGGCACCAAGGGAGGUCUGAUUAGGGAUAGAUAAAGCUGCCGGCCAGGAUUAGGACAGGCGUGGCAAAAGCAGCAGGUCUUGGUGAAUGAGUAGGAGUUGGCCAGGUAGAAAAGUCUGGGGAAGUUGAGGGGAGCAUUCCAGACCAGGGCACUGGCGUGUACAAGGGAAUGGUAGUUUGAUGAUUCAGAGCCCUUUCUGGGAACCGGAGUAUAGGAUGGAAGGUAAGAAUGGAAUGGAGAUUGGGGGCAUAUUACGAAGAAGUGAUCUAAGAAGACACUUCUUAUCAACUAAGACAGACCCUAAGAUUAAAGAAACCAAAGUUAAAGUUACUUAUGGGUUGGGGGUUCAUCAUAUCCCUCCUAACUCUGAUUUACAACCCAAGACCACUACAACUCUGAUUGGACAGAGGACCGGCCUUACAAACAUUCUCUUCUGAUAAGCAACUGCAGACCUUAAGCCAGUUUCACCAGCUGAUAAAGGCGGUACACAGACUGUCUUUGGGUCCUGUGGUUCAUCUUUUGAUAUAAAGAGUCAAAUUCUACCUCAUUUUAAUGCUAAAAUUCUGCCCCAAAGUGAGCAUGGGAUGAGUGUUACAUAUAUGUUUACGCAUUGUGCAUGCACUCAGCUCCCCUCAUAAAUAUAUAUAGUCUUCCCCCACAAUCUGCUAAAUAUGUAUGACUCUUUUGUGUAAAUAUGGACCUUGUGAGGCAUAAAACCCAACCUGCUCCUUCCCUUCUCGAAGAGAAAACACAUUUGGUCCACACUGGAGAUUCUCUUCCUGGUUUGCAAACUAAUAUCACCGAUAAAGCUCUCCUUUUCUACUAUUUACCCAUUCUGGUGAUCUUUUGGACAAUAAAGGGUGAUGUUCCGAAGUAUCAGCAAGUCAUCAGAAUUUCUGAGCGGGGGAGAGAGGAGGUCAGCUUUGCACAUUAUUUAUUUAUUUAUUUUGAGACGGAGUUUUGCUUUUGUUGGUCAGGCUGGAGUGCAGUGGGGUCAUCUUGGCUCACUGCAGCCUCUGCCUCCCGGGUUCAAGCGAUUCUCCUGCCUCAGCCUCCCGAGUAGUUGGGAUUACAGGCAUGAGCCACCAUGCCUGGCUAAUUUUGUAUUUUUAGUAGAGAUGGGGUUUCACCAUGUUGGUCAGGCUAGUCUCAAACUCCUGACCUCACGUGAUCCACCUGCCUUGGCCUCCCAAAGUGCUGGGAUUACAGGUAUGAACCACUGCACCUGGCCGUAGCUUUGCACUUUAGAUGGUGCACUAGGAGGCAAGGAAGAGGAUGCGGUAGGCAGUCUCUGAGUUGUCCUUAAUGAUUUCACAUCCCAGUAUUCACACCCUGGUGUGAUUUCCUCCCGUUGAGUAUGGAUGGAAUUUAUUGAUUCCAUUCUAAUGAAUAGAAUAUGUUAGAAGUGACGGGUUGUCAUUUCUGAGAUUCGAUUACAAAAACUCCCUGUGGCUUCUGUUUUGGGCACCUUCUCUUGCUCUCUUGCUCACUUGCUCUUAGGGAACACAGCAGCCAUCUUGUGAACUGCCCUGUGGGUAGGUCUAUGUGUCAAAGAACAGAUGACUAAUCAACGGCUAGCAAGGACUUGAGGACUUCUAACAGCUGUGAGUGAGCUUGAAAGUAGAUCCUCCCCCAGGCAAGCCUUAGAAUGACUGCAGCCCCAGCCAACACCUGAUUGCAGCCAUGUGAGAGGCCCUAAGCCAGAGGACCCAGUUAAGCCAUACCCAGGUUCUUGACCCUCAGAAAGGGAGAUAAGUAAUAUUCGUGGUUUUAAGUUUUACCUAAUUUUAAGGUAAUUUGUUAGGCAGCAAUAGAUAACUAAUACAGAGGGAUUAGAAGCAAAGACAGAAGUAGAGAAAUUAGGAGAGGGUGGUGGUUGUAGGCCAUCUCUCUAAUAAUGAGAACCUGAAUUGUGCAGUGGCUGUGCAGGUGAAGAGCAGAAGAUGAAUUUGAGAUAUGUCUGGAAAAAGAACAGAAGACAUUUGGCAAUGGAGUUGGAUGUGGGAAGGAGGGAUAAGGCAGAGGAGAGAGCAAUGCCAGUGUUUGGUAAUGUGAGGGAUGGUAUUUGCUAGAGCUGCCAGCAUGCAGGUCACUGGGGAUGAGUUUUAAAAGUGGCUCCUUGAGAUUUCUGGCAACAACAAGAUAGAUCAACAAAGCAGACUCAAGGUUGGUCAAAGAAAACAGCCACUGUGAGCUGGGGAAGAAAUAAUGCAGAAAAAUAGAAUCAAGGAAGAGCUGGAGGGAAUUCUCUUUCCUGAGUUUGAUUUACUUGUCAAAGUGUAUGGUAUACCAUUCUCCUCUUCAUCUAGCCAUUCUCUCCACAAAUGUUUACUAAGUGCUUUCUCUGUGCUAGGCACUGGGGACAAACAAGUAAACACACAAGUCCCUGCCUUCAUACUGUUCAUAACUUGGUUGCAGAGAAACAGUAAGAUUGAGGCUAGGACUUUUUAGCCACUCCUGCAGGGCUCUGAGGGUCUAAAUCUGUGCUGUCUGUUAUGUUAGCCACCGGCUUCCUGUGGCUAUGAGACACUUGAAAUGUGGCCAGUCCAAAUUGAAUGUGUUAUAAGUGUAAAAUACACCCUAGAUUUCAAAGAUGUAGUUCAAAA